ACCGAGCCCUGGCCUAUUGGCUAAGGAGAGCUUAAAGGGGACAUUUGGGCUCGGUUUUGAGCCCUACUCUGCCCCAACCCCAUGUACUCAAAAAAAAAUUUCCCCUUCCAGAGCUUGAUUAUUAAGCCCCAUUCAUAGCCACUACGUCAAGGGGCGGGGGAGAGGUCUGGAAGCGGAAUUUAUAUCUAAAAGAUGUAAUAAUAAUUAAUACCAGACAAAUGAUAAAUGUUGAAUGUUUUAAUCUAAAAAUUGUGUAGGUGUUGGAGUACUGGACUGGUAGUAGUACGCUGCAAAUGUCUGUUGCUGUAAUGACAAGAGCUUUCCCUGAUAUUCCAAAAGCCAGCAGGAUCUUGUUCUUCUUCAGAACGUAGCAAGGGACUAUUAUGCAUUGGCUUUCUCAAACGCGCACGCCAGAAAAAGGAAAUUACGAGGGAACAAGCGGUUAAGGACUUGGAGAUAAGUUAUGAGAGUUCAAAUCUGGCCUUUGGUCUAUAUCUUGCCUUGAUGAUUGUUUCGUCUGAUGCUAAUGUUCAGCCGUAGUAUCAAUGUCCGGAGGUCUAGUCAUACUCUGAUUGCUUCUUUUGGGAUUCAAACCUCUUUUACCAUCUACCCAAAUCUUCUUUAAGUUGGCAGACGAAGAGUAAGAGCACAUUAUUGCGGUGCAUUGCAGGUGAUAUUUGAUAAGAAAUUUAUCAAAAAACCACCUUUACAUGAUGAGUACUGGAGAUUUAUAAUUUGGAAUUGGAGCAGCGUAGAGAAGAACUUCAACAAUUGUUCUUGGCAGAAAGGGUUUGUGAGAAUUGUGUGAUUAGUCCAAGGGGCAUAUUGUUGUAUAAGUUGCCAGAAGGCAAGGGACGUGACACCAAGAGCAAGUCAACUUAAAGAUGUUGGUACUAUUCUCUUGUCUGAUGCUUUUUCUCUGUUUUGCUUUCUUGAAGUUGGAUACUACAUAAUAGCAUAUUUUGUGUAAAGUUGUAUAGCUCAUAUAAAAAAGCAGUUCUUAAUUCUUUCGGAUUGCUA